AGUGAACGCUGGCGGUAGGCCUAACACAUGCAAGUCGAACGGCAGCACAGUAAGAGCUUGCUCUUACGGGUGGCGAGUGGCGGACGGGUGAGGAAUACAUCGGAAUCUACUUUUUCGUGGGGGAUAACGUAGGGAAACUUACGCUAAUACCGCAUACGACCUACGGGUGAAAGCAGGGGAUCUUCGGACCUUGCGCGAUUGAAUGAGCCGAUGUCGGAUUAGCUAGUUGGCGGGGUAAAGGCCCACCAAGGCGACGAUCCGUAGCUGGUCUGAGAGGAUGAUCAGCCACACUGGAACUGAGACACGGUCCAGACUCCUACGGGAGGCAGCAGUGGGGAAUAUUGGACAAUGGGCGCAAGCCUGAUCCAGCCAUACCGCGUGGGUGAAGAAGGCCUUCGGGUUGUAAAGCCCUUUUGUUGGGAAAGAAGAGCAGCAGGUUAAUACCCCGCUGUUCUGACGGUACCCAAAGAAUAAGCACCGGCUGACUUCGUG
rnacentral:rRNA from 1 species